rnacentral:rRNA from 1 species
UACGGAGGGUGCAAGCGUUAUCCGGAUUCACUGGGUUUAAAGGGUGCGUAGGAGGGCAGGUAAGUCAGUGGUGAAAUCUCCAAGCUUAACUUGGAAACUGCCGUUGAUACUAUCUGUCUUGAAUACCGUGGAGGUGAGCGGAAUAUGUCAUGUAGCGGUGAAAUGCUUAGAUAUGACAUAGAGCACCAAUUGCGAAGGCAGCUCGCUACACGAAUAUUGACUCUGAGGCACGAAAGCGUGGGGAUCAAACAGG